GUCACUGUGAGGUGCGUGCCACGUGUUUCCCAGAGGGAGGGGUCCCUACAUUGCCCCCCUUUUUAACUUGCCUAUUUUGCCAAAAAAUGGGCGGGUUAAAAAAUAACUGGCUUUUUGAAAUUUGAAGAGGUCUCUUCGUCUGACUGGGCCACGUGGCGAGUGGGGGUGCGGAAGCCAAAAAAGGCCUUUAUGACGAGCCGCCGACUCUGGGUAUUCCCAGGCAGCAUGUCGUUUCAAUGAUAGUUUGUUUGGACGUUUGGCUUUCCGAGGGCCUGUCCCCCUAUAAAUAGCG
rnacentral:lncRNA from 1 species